GACGGAGGGGGCUAGCGUUGUGCGGAAUCACUGGGCGUAAAGCGCGCGUAGGCGGCUUAUCAAGUUGGGCGUGAAAGCCCGGGGCUCAACCCCGGAAAUGCGCCCAAAACUGGUUGGCUUGAGAACGAGAGAGGGUGGUGGAAUUCCCAGUGUAGAGGUGAAAUUCGUAGAUAUUGGGAAGAACACCAGUGGCGAAGGCGGCCACCUGGCUCGGUUCUGACGCUGAGGCGCGAACGCGUGGGGAGCAAACAGG
rnacentral:misc_RNA from 1 species